ACGACGGAUGUCUGGAAAUGUAUAAUGGACAAUGAAUGCAAUAUUGUAAGAAGACAACCCACUCCGAAUUCUCAACAGAUCUGCACGUGUAGAGGGAGCAGAGGUCCUGAACUAUGUGUUACAGUUAGAUGCAAACAUAAUUCAGUACAGACUCAAGGAAUUAAAUCGAUCUGUAAAUAUGGUAUUUCAAAAGCCUUUAAUUGCUCACGAACCUUGCAAAAUAGCAACAAAACUGAAUACACCAAUACCAGUGAAUACAAAAAUGACACUAUUAAAAUUCUUCAAGAAGGUAAGAUUUUUAAAAACAUGCUUUAACAAUUAGAGUAUGUUUAGGCAUAAAUUUUCUGCUUAUGUACAUCAUUUCCAAUGAAAAAUAUAAAAUAUACUCUGUCCAUUAUAGUUCGAAUCAAAGAUUGUUGUUCCCUUUGUGCGGACCUUGCUAAGAAAAGAAUCCAUAAGGAUGAAAACACGCUCAUCUCAAAUCAGAGUCAGAAUACAAUUUUACUUGAUAGAUGCAUCUUCGUUACAACUUUUGCGUAUUCGAAGCAGAUUUUUGAUAUCAUCGACAAAUGCAGUGAUGAGAAAAGUUGCCAAGUAUUUGUAAACGAGCAUAGGCAUUUUGGUACUCUAUUAUGUAUACUUCUACAUUAACAGUCGAUUUGUAUCGUCCUGAAAUGUGAAUUAAAUCUCAAACCUAACGACCACGCUAUAGACAGAAACUCUGCAUUAGGAAGAAGGACGUCACUGACAACAAUUUGGAACCAGUGGUUAGAGGAAAUCCUGCUCGUCUGUACUGGAGCUGUACUGUUGAGUGGAAUAAUGGGGUUCCUGAUUGGAGUACGUUGUUCAUGCUGCAGAAAGAAGACGACCAAAAGACAUAAAGCAGAAACAUCAAUAUCUUUAAAUUCCGAACUUUACGCAGAAAUUGCCGAAGUUUCAAACGAAACAUCCAAGGAUCCAGAGCAAAGCAGUCCAAAUCAAAUUCAAAUAGAUGCAUCAAGGCCGGAUAACGAUGUCAGACCUCCGUGUGAUUGUAAUCAAAGAAGUAACAGUGAAUACGACUACAGUCACGUGUACAACAUUCUACAACCAAAUUACGGCUCCAAAAGGCUUUCUCAUCCUGAUUUUAGUUCACUAACAACCUUAGAAAUGACGUAUUCCUAUCAGCAAUGUCGAAGUCUACAAAAUAUUUCAGACAAGCAUCGUAUACAGAGGGAAGGGGCGUCAAGAUUAUCUCUCUGAAGUAACUUCAGUAUGAACUACCAAAUGUAGUUGAUACAAAUCCAAUAUCAAGGACCGAAGUGAGCAUUGUCAUGUAUCGUAGUAUACCAUUUAUUUAGGUAAUUACCUAAACUUGUUAUAGUAUAUCCCAUUAUGAUAUAAUGCAGAACUUUACCCAAUAUGUUCAUCGUACUCACAAA